rnacentral:sRNA from 1 species
CAGUUAUUAUACCGUAGACAGUAGGUGCUUAUAAGCUUAAUUUCCUACCGAGGGAUUUACCGAAACUCUAUGCGUAUAAUAGGCUUAGAGUUUUUUAUGU